AUGUGUAUGUUAGACCGUGUUAGGAAAAUCUAUGAGGUGUUUCCUAAGGUGCCCUUGCCUAGUAACAUGUUAGAUGAUAAAGAUGUUGGAGAAUUUACUGAAGCUCUUGGGGCAGCAAAAACACGUCUAGAGGGCUGCUCAUCAUUCUUAAGAGCUGCAAUAAAGUGGUCUGCAGAGUUUGGUGCUUCCAGAAAUGGUGAUCCAGAACUGCAUGCUAUGCUGGCUGAAUACAUAUAUUCCGAGUCUACUGAGUUGAACAUGGCUAAAGUGUCAUAUCAUUUUGUUAGAUGAAACAACCCAAAGAAGUUUGCUUUUACUUUAGUAAAUUUCAUGAGCAAGGAAAUAAAUGGUAUUUGGUUCUAUGAUGCACAUGAACUCGAGGAUGACCAUCAUGGAUGGUCUCUUGGAGCCAUCAUCAUCAACUGCACCCAGUGUCGUAGAUGUCCCCGAUGA